CAGCACCUCAAGUGGUCAGGAUGAUUAUUGGGCCUAAAGCAUCCGUAGCCUGCUUUGUAAGUUUUCGGUUAAAUCCAUACGCUUAACGUAUGGGCUGCCGGGAAUACUGCAAAGCUAGGGAGUGGGAGAGGUAGACGGUACUCGGUAGGAAGGGGUAAAAUCCUUUGAUCUAUUGAUGACCACCUGUGGCGAAGGCGGUCUACCAGAACACGUCCGACGGUGAGGGAUGAAAGCUGGGGGAGCAAACCGGAUUAGAUACCCGUGUAGUCC
rnacentral:rRNA from 1 species